rnacentral:rRNA from 1 species
GAUGAACGCUAGCUACAGGCUUAACACAUGCAAGUCGAGGGGUAACGAGAGGAAAGCUUGCUUUCCUUGUCGACGACCGGCGCACGGGUGAGUAACGCGUAUCCAACCUGCCCCCAACUAGGGAAUAACCUUGCGAAAGUAAGACUAAUACCCUAUAAUUUCCUCAGAUGUCAUCUGACGAGGAAUAAAGAUUUAUCGGUUGUGGAUGGGGAUGCGUCUGAUUAGCUUGUGGGCGGGGUAACGGCCCACCAAGGCAACGAUCAGUGGGGGUUCUGGGAGGAAGGUCCCCCACAUUGGAACUUGGACACGGUCCAAACUACUACGGGAGGCAGCAGUGAGGAAUAUUGGUCAAUGGGCGGAAGCCUGAACCAGCCAAGUAGCGUGCAGGAUGACGGCCCUAUGGGUUGUAAACUGCUUUUAUACAGGAAUAAAGUUAGCCACGUGUGGUUAUUUGUAGGUACUGUAUGAAUAAGGACCGGCUAAUUCCGUGCCAGCCGCCGCUGUAA